rnacentral:tRNA from 1 species
GCGCCUGUAGCUCAGCUGGAUAGAGCAACGGCCUUCUAAGCCGUAGGUCCCGGGUUCGAAUCCCUGCGGGCGCGCCA